rnacentral:rRNA from 1 species
ACGCUCGACACCUACGGGAGGCNGCAGUAGGGAAUCUUCCACAAUGGGCGCAAGCCUGAUGGAGCAACACCGCGUGAGUGAAGAAGGGUUUCGGCUCGUAAAGCUCUGUUGUUGGAGAAGAACGUGCGUGAGAGUAACUGUUCACGCAGUGACGGUAUCCAACCAGAAAGUCACGGCUAACUACGUGCCAACAGCCGCGGUAAUCUGAGCGGGCUGGCAAGGC